rnacentral:lncRNA from 1 species
UUGGAUUUUAAAAUUUAAUUUUCAAUACGAGUAAAGGGUAACUUCAAUGUAGGCAAGCAUUGCAAACUUGAUUGACUAACUAAUUAACAUUUUCAUUAAUUGUUUCACAAGAAGUAAUAUGAAAGGCCAAACCGACAAAGAAAUGUCAGUGAGUGAGCUGUGUCUAAAUUUGGAGACAGAGGUUCUAGCUAGAUUUUAUUAGUUGCAGGAGUGACUACAAAGUGAAAAACCACUAAUUUCACUGGUUGCAUUUGUGUGGUAUGAACAAUUGUUCCAAAGAUGGUAAGAAGAAUGGAAAGUAAUUUUCAACAGAGCUGUUCUGAUGAAGAAAACUAUUCCAAAAUGUCUGCAGCUACAGUACUAAAUUGGUUAUACUUUGAAACAAAGAAGUACAUACAUAUAUUUGCAUUCAAUUAUCAAAUUACUGAGAACUAUUGUUCCGCGAGUCACCAGAAUAGUUGUAGUUUGAAGAUGUCAUGUUUUUGGUACAUAUUAUUAUUAUUAUUAUUAAUGAAGAAUAGGAAUGAAUGGAGAAAUGUAUGUAGGAGCAGAAAUAAAUGAAAUGCUUCCAAAUGGACAGACAUAUAACAUAGGAAAUGAUGUUCCUGUAAAGCUUUGUAUCUCAUAAAUCCAGAAGGACACCAUAAUAGCGGAAUUAAUAUUCCCAGGAGAAUUAUACACUUAUUCACUAGAAACAAUGAACUGAAGUUAUAGAAUUAAAUAUUGUAUUGAGGAAGACAAACAUGAAAGACUCCAGGGCAAAGAAUUAUUUCUAAGCUGUGAACUGAAAGUCCGAUAUGUAUCGUUUUACCUACCAUUAUUAUAUCUAAUGUACUUGACAAUAAACACUGUUUAUCGUAUAUCACUUAAAUAAACACUUCAUACUUAUGUUGAUUUUUAUCAUAUUAAAAGCCUAAGACAUAAAACUAAGUCAAUUUUCACCUUUAAAUAUUUGAAUAAAACAUUCGUUUCUUGUAUUAAAGUAUAACCUAUUGUCGUGUUUGAAUUAUGAAACUAUAAGCAAAAUAAGAAUUAAGAGUUUAUGAAAUUCUUACAAAAUCCGUAAAGCUACUUGGUUAAAAUUAUUUGCUUUAACUACUAAAUAACCAAAUAUAUGGAGAGAUAAAGAUUUUGUGAUUUAAUACUGAACUAAUUGCAUACACUAUGGAAUUGGUACUGGAUUCUCUUGUUUAACAGCAAAAUCUUGAAAAAGAAAUGUUUUUAAUGUAGCAAAAAUGUAAAUGUGUUCUACAAUAGCAAGAAUUUUAAAAUGAUAUUGUAGUCAUGAUAAUUUAAUCUAUAUUUAAAUGGAUGGAAGUACAUGUUAAAAGCACAAGAAUAUUUAAAAUUUCUUCAGAAAAUAUAUGAUAAGCAGCUGGUUGAAACCAGUGUAUGAAUAGUUUAAGCCAAUAAAUCCAGAAAUAACAAGCAAUUAAACUUAGGUUAUUAAAAAGCAAGUUGUUAGAAACAUUAAAAGAUAUUUGUAUGAAAUUAUCAAGGAGCAAAUAAACAGUUUUUAUAUUUGGUUUGUGAGAUUCUUAAUGUGAAUUUGCACAUUGAAACAAAUCUUGUUGUGUCUAGAGAGGGUCAUUAUAUGGAUAAAGAUUAAAAUAAACACACACACGAGUACAAUGCCACUUCUUUAUUUUACCAGCCAACUGUUAUUCUUACAGCACACAUUUCCUUCGCAUAAGAUUGAUAGUUAUUUGGUAAAAUAAAGAAGUGGAAUUGAACCUGUGUGUGUGUUUAUUUAAAACUUUUAUUAAGGAACCUCCUUAAACAUAAAUAAACAUCAUUAUGAGAAUAAUCAGAAUGUUUCUUAGGAGCAACAAAGCAAGAGAUAGCAAUAUAAGGACAGGCAUAAGUGAAUUUUUUCAAGCCCAGUGGGCAGCAUAAGGAGUGAUCAGAUCUCUCUUAUGCAUACAUACAUCUAUGCUGAACUAUUGAGAAAUCUGCAGUUACUCUAUCCAGAUCAGGUUUAUAGCUGUAAUUAUUGAGAUGCUGGGAUAUGAAACACAUUGCCUAAAUACCAAUCUUGGGAAAUCAGGCUUCUCAAAACCAGAAAGAAGAAAGCGAAUUCGAAGACUACAGACCCAAUCCAUCACUGCAACUGUAAAAAUCUGUAAAACUUUCCAGAAGUUUAUCAUUUAAAUAUAUAUGAGCAUGUCUAGAUAUGCAACAAUAUGCAUGAAAAUAUAUACAUACAUACAUACAUACAUACAUACAUACAUGAUGGCCAUCCACUUGUGAUUGAGGAAGACCAUUGCUGACCUUCAGGAAGUUCAAAUAUGAAAAAAGGGACAGGAAGGGGUUUCUUGCUAUCAAUGAAAUAUACAUGGUAACCUUGCAUUUCAUAUGCAAGGUUACCAUAUAUAUUGGCUGAAAUGCUAAAGGAUUAAACUUGCUAAAACAAUGAUAGUGGUAUUGAUGCAUGUGAUGAUGAUGACAGUUAUUAUGAUGAUGAUGAUGAUGAUGAUAAACCAGAUAAGAGAUUAUGUCUCUCUUUAAUUAUUUAGUCAUUUACCUUCUUUUGUUCUUUCUAUUUUUAUUCAGCUUUAUGAGAAUUCUGAGUUUUUGGGUGAAAGUUAUUAGAGUGAAUAUGGAAAGAAAUAAAGACGGGAGGAAAAUAGCUACAUCAGAGUAUGCCCUUAAGGUACACGAAGGGAAACAGAAGGGAAUAGAAGAUUGGGAAGGGUUUGAAUGGAUGUUGUAACAGAGUAUGGAGAAAGUGGGAAAUGGUUUGGAGAUGGGGCUGAGAGAUGAACAAGAGUGGAGGAGUUGUCAAUGAUAAAUAUAUAUUCAGUUUAUCCAAAUAUUUUUUCACACUUUAUAUCAAUAUUCUUUUUAGAUUCAUUAAUGGGUGUCACUGCAUAAUUUUAUUUUUCUAGUCAUUAUUCCUUUCAGAUCCCUUUUUUCAUGUCCUUUCACAUCUCAGCAUUCGUU